AGCAGCCGCGGUAAUUCCAGCUCCAAUAGCGUAUAUUAAAGUUGUUGCAGUUAAAAAGCUCGUAGUUGAAUUUCGGGGUUCUACCGUUGGUCGGGCUAACCAGUCUGUACUAGCGUGUAGAAUUCCUACCUUCUGGGGAACCAUCAUGUUAUUAAUUUAGCGUGGUGGGAAACCAGGACCUUUACCUUGAAAAAAUUAGAGUGUUCAAAGCAGGCUUACGUCUGAAUACAUUAGCAUGGAAUAAUAAAAUAGGACGGUGGUCCUGUUUUGUUGGUUUCUGAAUCACCGUAAUGAUUAAUAGGGAUAGUUGGGGGCAUUAGUAUUCAAUUGUCAGAGGUGAAAUUCUUGGAUUUAUUGAAGACUAACUUCUGCGAAAGCAUUUGCCAAGGGUGUUUUCAUUAAUCAAGAACGAAAGUUAGGGGAUCGAAGACGAUCAGAUACCGUCGUAGUCUUAACCAUAAACUAUGCCGACUAGGGAUCGGACGAUGUUAAAUUUUAUUGACUCGUUCGGCGCCUUACG
rnacentral:rRNA from 1 species